UACGUAGGGUGCAAGCGUUUAAUCGGAAUUACUGGGCGUAAAGCGUGCGCAGGCGGUUGUGCAAGACAGAUGUGAAAUCCCCGGGCUUAACCUGGGAACUGCAUUUGUGACUGUACGGCUAGAGUGUGUCAGAGGGGGGUAGAAUUCCACGUGUAGCAGUGAAAUGCGUAGAUAUGUGGAGGAAUACCGAUGGCGAAGGCAGCCCCCCUGGGAUAACACUGACGCUCAUGCACGAAAGCGUGGGGAGCAAACAGG
rnacentral:rRNA from 1 species